GCGAUUCGCCCUUCGGGGUGCAGCAGGCGCGAAAACUUUACAAUGCCGGCAACGGCGAUAAGGGAACCUCGAGUGCCAGGUUACAAAUCUGGCUGUCGUGAUGCCUAAAAAGCAUUGCAUAGCAAGGGCCGGGCAAGACCGGUGCCAGCCGCCGCGGUAACACCGGCGGCUCGAGUGGUAACCGUUAUUAUUGGGUCUAAAGGGUCUGUAGCCGGCCGGGUAAGUCUCUUGGGAAAUCUGGCGGCUUAACUGUCAGGCUUUCAGGAGAUACUGCCUGGCUCGAGGCCGGGAGAGGUGAGAGGUACUUCAGGGGUAGGGGUGAAAUCUUGUAAUCCUUGAAGGACCACCAGUGGCGAAGGCGUCUCACCAGAACGGACCUGACGGCAAGGGACGAAAGCUAGGGGCACGAACCGGAUUAGAUACCCGGGUAGUCCUAGCCGUAAACGAUACUCGCUAGGUGUCGGCCACGGUGCGACCGUGGUCGGUGCCGUAGGGAAGCCGUGAAGCGAGCCACCUGGGAAGUACGGCCGCAAGGCUGAAACUUAAAGGAAUUGGCGGGGGAGCAC
rnacentral:rRNA from 1 species